rnacentral:rRNA from 1 species
UGGGGAAUAUUGGACAAUGGGCGCAAGCCUGAUCCAGCCAUGCCGCGUGUGUGAAGAAGGCCUUUUGGUUGUAAAGCACUUUAAGCGAGGAGGAGGCUACUUGGAUUAAUACUCUAGGAUAGUGGACGUUACUCGCAGAAUAAGCACCGGCUAACUCUGUGCCAGCAGCCGCGGUAAUACAGAGGGUGCGAGCGUUAAUCGGAUUUACUGGGCGUAAAGCGUGCGUAGGCGGCUUCUUAAGUCGGAUGUGAAAUCCCUGUGCUUAACUUAGGAAUUGCAUUCGAUACUGGGAAGCUAGAGUAUGGGAGAGGAUGGUAGAAUUCCAGGUGUAGCGGUGAAAUGCGUAGAGAUCUGGAGGAAUACCGAUGGCGAAGGCAGCCAUCUGGCCUAAUACUGACGCUGAGGUACGAAAGCAUGGGGAGCAAACAGG